rnacentral:rRNA from 1 species
UACGUAGGUGGCAAGCGUUGUCCGGAAUAACUGGGUGUAAAGGGCGAGUAGGUGGGACAUUAAGUCAGAUGUGAAAUUUGGGGGCUCAACUCCUAAGCUGCAUCUGAAACUAAAGUUCUUGAGUGCUGGAGAGGGAAGCGGAAUUCCUAGUGUAGCGGUGAAAUGCGUAGAUAUUAGGAGGAACACCAGUGGCGAAGGCGGCUUUCUGGACAGUAACUGACACUGAGGCGCGAAAGCGUGGGGAG